GCACUAAUGGGGUAGUGGUAACCUGGGUCGUUGCCAUUCUGGGUCACCUGUCUUUCGACCCGCCGGGGGUUCGAUUCCCUCUUAGUGUA